GGUAACUCCUUUCUUCUCAUUACACCUGAAUGAGAAAAUUAUAUUCGUCAUUCUUUACAGAGGAAGAGCAAAGGUAGAUAGAAAUGAAUAGAAGCACAAAAUUGGUCAGUGUUUAAUUACCUCUACCAAAAUGGUGUUGCUUAAGAUAAGUGAUUCAUGCAUAAUUAUGAAACAAAGAUGACUUGGUGCAAAUCUAAGUUUAAAACUGCAUCAAGGUACAAAAUCAGUAAGAAACAUGCAAACAAUUAGAAUGCAGAAAUAGUAAUCGGAGAUUGUGAAUAAUUUGUGAAAUAUAUGACAAAAAGUAUACCAAAAGCCAAAAAUAUGAUAGCAAGAUUACUGGGUGAGAUGGAAGAUGUUUGACUUCUUAAAAGAAGUCUAUGAAACUAGGAAGCAAUACAAUCGUAUCCAUUGUUGUAUCCAGAGUUGUAUAAGUGAUACCUCCCAUAAGACUGUUAUAGUAUGUACUCAUUUUACAACUGCCUAAGAAUAGAUCAGCCUAGUUUCUAAAUUUUCUUAAACUAUGUGCCAUAUGAUGUCAUCCAAAUCGGAUGGAGGUGUAUAUGCCACAAUUAAAAUAACAGAAAUUCUUCCAUGAAAAGUUGGUAGAUAAGAAGUCUACGAAAAUUAGUCAACCGAGUGCAAAAUUUUGCACUAUUUCCAUUAGUGCAAAAUUUUUCACAAAUAAUAAUAUCAAUUGUAAGACUCGAUUCAUUGGUUUGAAUUUCCUUAAUUCAUACAUUACGCUUCUCUAACUGCCAAUUGCCAAACGAAUCCAGAAGAAACCGCAAAAAAGAACCUUAAUAAGUAGUAGGACACAUUCAUAUACCACAAGGAACUCAUACUCAAACUUUAAUUAAUCAAAUAAUAUUAUUUAAAUUUAAUUAAAGGCAAUAUUACUGAUUACUUCAAAUUAUCUCAUAAUUAAAAUUAUCAUUUAUUAAUUAUGACCAAUCGUUAAACCUCUAAUUAAUUUAAUAAUUAAUUAGAACAACAUUAUAAUUAUUAACAACUCGAUUAAUUUAAUAAUCCCAAAUAAAUUAUAAUUUCAAACUAUAAAAUUAUUUCUCAUUAAUUUAAUUAAUGUGACACACUUAAUUAAAUUAAUCUACAACAAUUUCAUCAAUUAUUUAUUUAACUCAAUGAAUAAAUCAACAAAAUAUUUAUUUAAUUCAAUAUAAAUAAAUAUUUAAUAUUAAUUACAAAAAUCUUGUUCGUCACAUAAGCUGACUGGGUGAUGAGCUUAAUUAAUUCAUCCGUUUUAGUACUGGAAAACAAUUACAAGAAAAUAUAACCAUAUCAAUCACGUGUAGUACAUCACUACAAAGAAUAUGGUAAAGAUAUUUUGAGGCACGCAAUGCACUCGAUAACUUCUCUUCAUUAAUUUUUUUUUGGGGGGGAGGGGGUUGGGGUUGGGGCAGGGAACAUGGGGACGGAGGGUUGGGUAGGGAAGUACUAAAGAACAAGUUAUUAAUAUCAUGCACAAGUUUAAUCACCAAAACUACUCGAGACAGAUUAUCAACUAAUUUGAUACUUCCCUCACUCAACAUUUUCACGUGUCCCAUUUAUUGUUUUGAUCUGUCUAGCUAUUUGUUUUUCAUGGCUCAUGCACACAAAUCGUCAGUUACUAAUCAUGAUAUAGCCCUUCUUGUUAAAAUACAAAUUUACGUAGGUAGUUUACAUGAUAAAACGAAGAUUAUAUAAAACAAUCAAAACACAAUUUAUGGAGAAAAAGCUAAUCAUCUGCAGACAUAAAAUAACCACUACCACUACUAGCUAAAGAAUAAGUUUAGAACAUCCAAAAAGAAUCACAUAACUACUAUACCUAGAUACAUCAUAUUGUUACUGUUAGUUAUUUUAUUUUAGGCUAUAAUGUAUAUGAUAUUUAUAUGUUUAAUAAUUUUUUGGAGUACAAUAUAUUCAUACAAAAACUAACAUGUAUAUAUUGUAUAUUGUGAACGAUUUAUUGCCUUAUGGAAUACUAAGUGAACGUCUUAUUGCUUAAGCAUCCUGCCGCUCGGUCACCGUCUCGCAUUGCCGUCAUACUACAGUAUUCUGCUUAAUAAUUUUGCCCCGAAACUAUUUCCUAAACAAACCAUUGGCCUAGCAGAAUGACAAAAAACUAAAAGAUGCAAUAUAAUCAGAAGUAUACUCAAAUAAAGAAACAAUCUUCAGCCUCAAAAUAUGACACCUACCAUGCAGGUGGCCUGCCUUAUUCUCACGCAAUCCCAAUGUCUCUAAUUUCAACAGUUACUUCUUUAUAGAUUUGAGAUCUUUCCUCAAGUUUCAAAGCACUUUAUGUCCCUUUGAUAAAAUUCUUUGAGACCAGAUUCAACAGUUGCACCUCAUUAAAUAAUGAAAAUCUUAAGUGGCAACAUAAUCAUAAUACACUAAAUAUUUUAUGGUUUCCAAAUCUGUCUGAUCAAGAAAGAUAGCAUCUGCCACUUCCAUAAAGGUGGUAAUAUUUCAUGUAAGAUGUCCCACAUAAGUUAUAUAGAAAUAGAGCAGAUACAUUGUGAUACUUAAUCACUUUAAGUAACUUUAAUUAUAAACAUACAAGGCUAAAACAAAGGAAAAUCAGUGAAACUAUGAGAUAACCUAAGCAGAGUGCAUUUGUCCACCUAAAUAUUGUCGUAAAACUAUAAAAGUGAUGUAAAAUAAAACAAUAGCCACAUUUGAAUUUAUGCAGCCCGAAAAUUCUAUAAACCAGGUUGUAUAGAUGAGUAUUGAACCAAAACAGAUUCAUAUGGCUUAAUCAGGAUCUCCGCAAAGGCACAAAUACAAAAGCUCCAAAUAGUUGUCUUGCUAUAGCUGUGAAUCACACGCAAUGAUUGAAUAAUAGACAAAUUUCACAAUUAAUAAUAUAAAGCAGGAGAAAAGUGUUUGAUGGUAUAGCAACAAAUGAAUACCUACAGAUACCUCCUUUGAUCCAUCAGCUCUUGUUCCUGUAGAUUGUGCAGUAACGUUCUGUGACGUUGCAACUGGCGUCGCAGCUUUUCUUGAAUUUUCAGUAACAACCUUUUUUGCAGCUUCUUUCGCUGCUCUUUGAGCUUCCAAAGAUUUUGCAUCUUCUUUAGCUCUCUUCUUUUCAGCCUCAAGGCUAGCUUGAAUCUAUCAAAUAAUAAAAACCUAGAAGUAUCUAAAAGGUUAAUUAACAUGUUCUUUAUAUAUGGUUCAUAUUUCUGACGAAGAAAAUACAGAAAAAGACAAUGUCUCCUCUGUCAGGCAAGAAAACAGAAUAUUCAUUCCAUCUCCAGAUGUCUUGUUGUGCAUCUCCAAAACUCACCCAGCUACCACAAUCACCUUUUCUAACAGAACAAAACCCAAUUCAUAAACAAAAACCGCAAGCCAACUCUAAUUCAUUAACUACAUUCUUCAUAAUCAAUACAAACAGGAAAACUUCCCCCUCUGUGAUUUGAUAUUUGAACUUGACACUACUUUGAUGAGUUUGAGAACCCAAGAGGGCUGAUCAUUUGUGAGAAACCAAGAGGCCUUAAAAAUAACACCAAAAGGAGGGGAAAGCUACUUAAACCUAGGGCAUAAUUCCAAACCUACAAACAAGAAAAAUCAUAUGAACAACUUGACCCCAAGAUCAACAACCCAUACCUCAAUCCAUACACUAGCCCACUACCAUGUAGCUUUUUCUUUUCUUGAUCGACUAUUUUAAUCCUUUGAAAACUCGAUAUAUUUAUUAAUUAUAGAUCGAACUUGCUAAAUUUUCAUAAUACGCACAUAGGUUGUUUUUGCCUUAUUAUAUCUAUUAUUUUAUUUUUUGGGGUUAAUAUCAUUAAUUCAAUUCAUAUAUCAAUAAAUGUAAGUCAAAGUAAAUUAAAGUCAAAUAAAACUCUAAUCAUUUUAAUAGGGUAAAUUUUAUAACAUCUACGCCUCCUUUUCUCCCACCCAAAAUAAAAUAGUGUUCGUUUAUCCACAGAUGACACACAUUGAAUUAAAGCAUCAACAAGUCUAGAUAAGUAUUAAUUUGGAAUACCGAGAGUACUAAUUAGAAUAAAGGCGAAUAUAUGCACCUAGAUUUUGUGUCAACCAAAACCAGGAACUGGAGGAAUGGGUGCCACGGUCGUAUCACGGGUUCACUAGCUAUCAGGAAUUUGGUUCAACCGCUGAUCAUCAUCCUGCCACAAAGUAGGCUAUUAGAGGUAGCCUCUUAGCUUAGCUGGUAGGAGAGACUACGAUAUAAGGACAAAUACCACAUGGUAUAGUUAACACUAAACUAGGAAAACUAACAUAAAAGCACAAUUAGUUAUAAAUGUGCUCAAACUAAAGAGUUCUGAUGAACAAUUUUUUGCUCUUAAAGUUGGAAAAAAUUUAAAAAUGAAGCACAUUUAUCAAUUCCUAAAGCUUUGACAUAUGCAUGGUAUGAAACUGUUUAUAGAUUCAUACAAGCAUGCGAAGAGAAGAUCAUAUUAUUCAUAAAUGGAAAUUCAGGUGGGAGUCUAAAGUUAAUCAAAUGAUGUAUUACUUUCCAGUUCCAAGGCCAUGAUUUAUGUUGCCAGCAUUGAUUUUAUUGAAUUUACUGAAAUGCAAUACUAUUUUUUACUCUUGCUACUUUUUAAUUUAAGUUUACUUUCAUAUAUUUUGUAUUUCCCAUGUCAAAUCACUUGACAAAUCAAAUUACUGAAAAACAUACAAAAUACAGAAAGCGACUACAAGUUGAAGCCUUAUCUAAUGUGCACAUAUUGCCAUCCACCAUUAGUCACUAUUGAAAGCUUCAUCUGGUUGACACAAAAUUCUCUAAUAAAAUUUUUACUCCCAUACACCAUACAGAUCAACAAGAAGUUUAGAUUUUCACUAUUACAAUAAUAGUGAUCAUGUCAUUUCUAUUCUUUUUCUAUUCAUUCACGUGAUAUGCAAGUUGCGAGUGCCACUAAAUAAUGAAAUAAGUAAUAGACAAUAACUAUAUUGUAUAAAUAAAACUAAAAGAAGUUGUGGAAAUUGAAACUAAAAGAAUUCCUUAUAUCAGAAGUUUAUAAUAUAGAAAUAUAUACAAGCACUGCACAUACAUUAAACAAUUGAAAUACUAUUUGAGGUAUAUUGGUAGUAACAGUACCAGACUUUGGAUUUCACAUGAGUCCUCGAGGACCUAGAAUCUCUCCUAGAUUGGCCUCCUGAUGCAUGUAAGAUGAAUAUCUAUACAUCAGUCCAAUUCAUAAACAUCUGGACCAAUCAACAUAAAGAAACCUCACAUUCAAUACAGACAAACAUAAAUAUUUAACAAUCCCAAAUCAAACUCAUUCACUUCUGGACAGCCAAGAACAAGGAAAAUGGAAUAACAUAAUAACCAAAACGAAAUUGUGCAAGAAGAGGCAAAAAGGUAUGUGUGUGAGAAGGUGGGGGGGGGGGGAUAUAGAAAAAUAUCAAAAAUUGCAGGAAUUUAGUUAUGCAUAUGAAUUCUUAUUUAACCGGAGUAAAAGAUCAUAACAAAAAGGGUAAAUAUGUAUAUAUUGGUGUACACACUACUUGUAUGCACUCUAAUAUCUUCCACCAAAGACUUGCAAAUGUAGGAAGACUUCUCACAUUGAAUAUCUACAGUUCUGUGUGUUGGUUUUCAUAUAACAAGUAGCUACAUUUAUACACAAAAUGCUAGCCUAACUCUAGGAGAAAAACAGGGAGAGGGAAACAUGAAAUGUUUAAGCCUAAAGCAUGUUAUGCUACUAACAUCUGCUAACACUCCCCCUCAAGUUGGUGUAUAGAUGUCUCGCAUACCCAACUUGAAACACAAUGAAUGAAACAACAUAGAAAAGCAAAACAGCAGCAUAUCAGCAACACCAGUUUGUUCCCGCAAUAUAAAACGGAAUGGAGGAACCAAACACAAUGCGAACAAGAACUGACAUACAACCAAAUCGGGCCCCAAAGCAUGAAAAACCAGACCCACAUGGGACCAAAACACCGUCAGAAAUCAGCGACGCAGCAAACAAGGACCCGCGUGAGACUGCAAAUUACAUUAAAACCAGCUGAAGCACAACAACAAUUAGCCCAUGUGGGCGCACCCAAAAAACAGCCAGUAAUCAGAGUGAGUCGAAUCCGUGGGACCCAAAAGUCACUCACUCAAACAAAUUAACAGCAGCCAAAACAGGGAAAAAUUGGUGCACCAAGGACACAAAGUAAGAC
rnacentral:lncRNA from 1 species